rnacentral:rRNA from 1 species
ACUACGGGAGGCAGCAGUGAGGAAUAUUGGUCAAUGGGCGGAAGCCUGAACCAGCCAAGUAGCGUGCGGGAUGAAGGCCCUACGGGUCGUAAACCGCUUUUGCACGGGGAUAACACCCUCCACUUGUGGAGGUCUGCAGGUACCGUGCGAAUAAGGGCCGGCUAAUUCCGUGCCAGCAGCCGCGGUAAUACGGAGGGCCCGGGGGUUAUCCGGAUUCGUUGGGGUAAAAGGGAGCGUAGGGGGGCGUUCAAGUUAGCUGUAAAAUCGCGCGGCUCAACCGCGCCCCGCAAUUGAAACUGGACGCCUUGAGUACACAACAGGCAGGCGGAAUUCGUGGUGUAGCGGUGAAAUGCAUAGAUAUCACGAGGAACCCCGAUUGCGAAGGCAGCCUGCCGGGGUGCGACUGACGCUGAGGCUCGAAGGUGUGGGUAUCAAACAGGAUUAGAUACCCCAGUAGUC